rnacentral:misc_RNA from 1 species
ACGUAUCCAACGUUAAAACAACCCCGUGAACCUUCAUACGGAUUCUCGCAGCCCGUGAAAGCAGCAAUCCCUGGUAAAUCAUUGUUAACCAGAUUUUGAGUCAGGGACCUCUGCCGGUAAUGAGAAGUUACAGUUGCGAUCGAGUCCUUGUACCAAGUAACCUGGCAUCCCCAAGCAACCAGUGUCUGAAAGUGUCAUUGGUUGUGUAAGGAUGGCGCAGUCAACGAUCGCUGUAGGCCAACACGGCCGGCGACCGGGUUACUGGACCUAAAAAAGUCCCUUAAUAACCCCAUCCAUAGAUUAAGGAGUGCGAAUAAGAUCGCACCACAAAAAACCGAACAACUGUUAACAAUGGAUAUCUUGGUUCU